rnacentral:lncRNA from 1 species
CGCCAAGAGUGCACAGACUUUGAAGCAGGAAAAGACAGUCUCUAGAGCAACAUGGAAAGGAUCCAGUAUUUGUUUUCAGGCAAAAGCAAGCCUCCAAAAGACCCUUGGUUCUUCUCUGUAUGUCUUGCCCUUUCUGCCUUGUACACCAGACUGCCGGCAAGCAAGCGGGGAGGUGGAGAACAGCUGGGAUCCUCCAGUGAAAAGGUUGCUCAGCGCGAGAGAUGUCAAGAGGCUGGGAUUGGCGCCCAUCGGGAGGUGUGGAGCUCUCUCACUCACACUUCCUGGGAAAUGAAGGAGAAAUAAGAGGCAGCCCGCACUUGGAGCCAGCCAGCCUGGGUGGUAUUCCUUGAAGUGAAGCGCUCAUAAAUCCCUUCUGGGGCCAGAGCUGGUUUGACAAGCUGCAGGAUUUGGGUGGCCUGCCUGCUCUUUGGGAGCAGCCUUGGGAAGCUGAAGAAGUUGAAUCAGGACCUCAGGCCCUUUACAGACUCCCUUCUACACUUGGUUGCUGAUUAAGAACAUUAUGUGGCAUUUAAAAAUGGCACAAUUAUCUUCCUUUGGUGGUUCCUAGCUAAAAGUAGACUCCUAUCAGCCCGUGACUGACGACAAGAAGGCUCUUCAUCCCUGUUUUUGAAACAAACAUGGGUAUAAUCUGAA